GCUCCAAUAGCGUAUAUUAAAGUUGUUGCGGUUAAAAAGCUCGUAGUUGGAUUUCUGUCAAGAACAGCCGGUCCGCGUUAUGCGCGUGUAUCUGGUUUGUUCUCGGCAUCCUUCUCAUGAGCGUUGCUGCGCUUAACUGCGUGGUGCGUUAUUGAGAACUUUUUACUUUGAGGAAAUUUGAGUGUUUACGGCAGGCAAUC
rnacentral:rRNA from 1 species